CCUCCUUAUACGAUUUAGAACUUAUUUGUUCGUAGUGUCCACACAGAUGAUUGUUAAUUGUAAAGAGAACAACACUUAUUGUUUGGGUCUGUAGCUCAGUUGGUUAGAGCGCACCCCUGAUAAGGGUGAGGUCGGUGGUUCAAAUCCACCCAGACCCACCACUUCUUCCUAAUCUUAUCACUAAGAUUAAAACGAAGUCGGAUAACAAACAAUAAGACCAGCAUAUGUGGGGCUAUAGCUCAGCUGGGAGAGCGCCUGCCUUGCACGCAGGAGGUCAGCAGUUCGAUCCUGCUUAGCUCCACCACUUUACUUCUUAAAAAUAAAUAUUCUUUAUCGGGUAGCAACAUCACCUGAGAAUAGAGUGUGUUUAAUUUUGAGAAGUUUUUUGAUUCUCUGCUCUUUUAAAAAUUUUGGAAAAAGCUGAUAAUUAAAAUUCUGAUUAGAUACUUUGUAUUUAUUCAAGAAGUUUUCCAAAAGUUAAAAAAAGAAUGAUAGCCAGUUAUCAUUUCCAGUGCCCAAAUUUUAAAUCAUUUCAUGGAUUUAAUUUGGGGUAAUCCUUACCUUUUAAGUUAUUCAAUUNUUAAACCUUCCUGGGGCGGAAAUUUUAAACCUGUCCACAUUAACAAAAAACCCCGUUUUUGGGGUUUUUAUGGGUUUAA
rnacentral:misc_RNA from 1 species